GGGCAUGUGGUGUAGUUGGUUAUCACGCUCGCUUAGCAUUAUUGUGCAUGCGAGAGGGGUCCGGUUCAAUCCCGGACAUGUCCA